rnacentral:rRNA from 1 species
AGUGAACGCUGGCGGUAGGCCUAACACAUGCAAGUCGAACGGCAGCACAGUAAGAGCUUGCUCUUACGGGUGGCGAGUGGCGGACGAGUGAGGAAUACAUCGGAAUCUACUUUUUCGUGGGGGAUAACGUAGGGAAACUUACGCUAAUACCGCAUACGACCUAUGGGUGAAAGCAGGGGAUCUUCGGACCUUGCGCGAUUGAAUGAGCCGAUGUCGGAUUAGCUAGUUGGCGGGGUAAAGGCCCACCAAGGCGACGAUCCGUAGCUGGUCUGAGAGGAUGAUCAGCCACACUGGAACUGAGACACGGUCCAGACUCCUACGGGAGGCAGCAGUGGGGAAUAUUGGACAAUGGGCGCAAGCCUGAUCCAGCCAUACCGCGUGGGUGAAGAAGGCCUUCGGGUUGUAAAGCCCUUUUGUUGGGAAAGAAAAGCAGCAGGUUAAUACCCCGCUGUUCUGACGGUACCCAAAGAAUAAGCACCGGCUAACUUCGUG